UUCAGAGCAGCAGCAGAUGUUGCAUCGAUAAGCAGGUCAGAUGGACGCAGUGAGAAUCAACCUUUUACUGCUUCUGCUUUUUUUGCAUGAUGUCUGGACUCUGAAGUGACUCUUGUGAAAACAAUCGGGAAAGAAUCAGAUUUCACUCCAAUCUGCACCAACAAAACAUCAAACAUCAUAUUGAUCAUUUGUAAAAUCAGAACAGAGAGGAACAAUAGAGAGGAGUGCAGUCUGCUCAGUGUGACUCCAGAUUCUCACUAAAAACCACACUGUAACAAAUUGCUGUAAAAAAACGGCCAAAACUGAACAGUAUCAUACUGUUUCUAUUGAAAACGGUACUGCACCGUGAAAAACAAUGCAUUCUGGGCAAUUAUUACUGUUUUUAAUAAAAUACUGUAGUAUACUGUGAGUAGCAUUGCAUUUUGGGAAUGAUGUUAGAUUCAACGGUAAGGAGGCUCUCUUUAAACAGAACGCUGCUGUAUUUCUGAAGAAGACAUGUUGUGGUGACAUGUGGAAGCAACCUCUAGAACUUUCUUUACAAGGACUAUCCAUUUGAAUCCUGCAUUUUAUGAGCCAAUCCUAAGGCGCUUUCUUGAUAUCAACCCGGACCAAGGCCAGCUGUAGCAAGAUCAUCUCCAAGAGGACAGGGAAAACUUUUCAAAAGAAGUCGGUCACUGUCAUCCCCGUGUUUCAACUCUGCUGAAAAACCUCAUGGACUUUGAGUGGAAUUUCAUAGUGAGAACUUUCUAACCAAGCUAUAGAUAUUGUUGCCCCUCCACGCAAAAACAAACAAGAAACUCUACAGACAUGAAGGCAACUUAUGUCUGUAGACAUAAGUUGCCUUCCUACACUGAACAGGAGUGUUCUUGAGAGAUUUUUUUUUUAUUUAAAGGUCAGCAUAAUCUGAAGACAUCUCUUUUAAUUAAGAGCAUAAAUUUUGUUAAGGCUCCCACUUUCUGUUCUUCAGAUGUAAUUUUGACUGUACAGGCACCAUGUUUAACUUAUCUUGGCAGUGUGUUGUCUAAUAUUGUUUCAUUGUUUUAUCAUUUGAAGUUGGAGCUCUGAUUUUGCCCUAAAGGAAAUUCAAGUCUAAAUGUUUCAU